rnacentral:misc_RNA from 1 species
AAGUCGUAACAAGGUUUCCGUAGGUGAACCUGCGGAAGGAUCAUUACAAGAAGUCUCAGAGGGUAACCCCCUCUGAAACCUUCCACCCUAUGUUUAUCGACCGUUUAGUUGUUGCCUCGGCGGGGAGUGCUUUGGCCCCUCCCGCCGGCGUACAGCCUUACAAACCUUUGAUACAAACCAAUAUAGUCAGAGUCUUUGAUAACAAAGCAAAAUAAAUCAAAACUUUCAACAACGGAUCUCUUGGUUCUG